CAGGGGAAGGAGUCUGCGGAAGAGUUGCUGGCCCGGUUAACACUGCAGGAGGAGGAAGAGGAGGAGUUCAUCUGGGAAGAGGAGUUGCCGGACAUGGUGGAACCGGCGAAGUGGUUGGCGAUUGCCCAAGUCCACACACCAAAGACUUUUUGCCCUAAUGCGCUGUACAAUGACAUGCGUGCGGCAUGGAAUCCUGCGAAACAGGUGGUAUGGAGGAAGAUAAAGGCCAAUUUGUUCACGACGCAGUUUGGGUGUCUAGGCGAUUGGAACAAGGCAAUGUUGGAGGGGCCGUGGCUAUUCAGGGAGCAGGCAGUGAUCAUGGAGGAAUAUGAUGGGUUCAAAAACCCUGACACUUUCGAGCUAGACAAGCUCUCUGUCUGGGCACAAAUUCACUGUUUCCGGACAAAUUCUUGA
rnacentral:rRNA from 1 species